rnacentral:pre_miRNA from 1 species
ACAACAUUAGGACCGUGAGUCUACCGAGCAAUAUCACCCGCUCGGUGAAAGAUCUUCCCUUUGUCGU